ACGGCAGCACGGAGCUUGCUCUGGUGGCGAGUGGCGAACGGGUGAGUAAUAUAUCGGAACGUACCCUGGAGUGGGGGAUAACGUAGCGAAAGUUACGCUAAUACCGCAUACGAUCUACGGAUGAAAGUGGGGGAUCGCAAGACCUCAUGCUCGUGGAGCGGCCGAUAUCUGAUUAGCUAGUUGGUAGGGUAAAAGCCUACCAAGGCAUCGAUCAGUAGCUGGUCUGAGAGGACGACCAGCCACACUGGAACUGAGACACGGUCCAGACUCCUACGGGAGGCAGCAGUGGGGAAUUUUGGACAAUGGGCGAAAGCCUGAUCCAGCAAUGCCGCGUGAGUGAAGAAGGCCUUCGGGUUGUAAAGCUCUUUUGUCAGGGAAGAAACGGUGAGGCUAAUAUCUCUUGCUAAUGACGGUACCUGAAGAAUAAGCACCGGCUAACUACGUGCCAGCAGCCGCGGUAAUACGUAGGGUGCAAGCGUUAAUCGGAAUUACUGGGCGUAAAGCGUGCGCAGGCGGUUUUGUAAGUCUGAUGUGAAAUCCCCGGGCUCAACCUGGGAAUUGCAUUGGAGACUGCAAGGCUAGAAUCUGGCAGAGGGGGGUAGAAUUCCACGUGUAGCAGUGAAAUGCGUAGAUAUGUGGAGGAACACCGAUGGCGAAGGCAGCCCCCUGGGUCAAGAUUGACGCUCAUGCACGAAAGCGUGGGGAGCAAACAGGAUUAGAUACCCUGGUAGUCCACGCCCUAAACGAUGUCUACUAGUUGUCGGGUCUUAAUUGACUUGGUAACGCAGCUAACGCGUGAAGUAGACCGCCUGGGGAGUACGGUCGCAAGAUUAAAACUCAAGGAAUUG
rnacentral:rRNA from 1 species